rnacentral:lncRNA from 1 species
GUCGCCCUAAGGGCCGCAGCGUGCACCUGCGGAGCUACCCACCCCAACUCCCUGCUCCUGUCGGAGCGCUCGGAAGCUCUCCCUAACCUGGGGUCCUCGAGGUCAGCCGGGGCGCUGAGAGCUGCAGGUGCACCCCUCCUCCAGUUCUGUCCAGGCUGCGUGGGCUAAGCCGGGGGGCGCAAGGAUGGGAAUUGGGGAAUGACUUCCACCCUCUCCUGGCUAGGUACCUUAGCUGAGCGCCGUUCUCUGAUGAAGCCCUCCAGCCCUCAGCUGCGCCCUACCAGCUACUCUCUGGCUAGGUGCCCAGCCACUCUCUGGCUAGGUGCUUGCUACCACCAAACAGCGUCCUUCCCGGGUCAGGGACGCAGGAAACGCACCCCACUCCCAACCCCCAAGGGCUGCAGGAAGUCCGCUUGCUUUUCCUCUCCCUGAUUUAUAUGUGUAAUUCGCAAGCUUUGCCGCCAGGAUCCUCUCCAGCUGAGCCCCAGCGCCGACUUGAAUUCCAGCUCUGCACCUGCCGUGACCCUAUGAGGAACAGGCACAGAGAGGCAGCGGCUCAUGCCUACGCCCACACCUGAAGAUCUCUCCUAAGCUAGCUCAGGACUUCCCUGGGCUUCUCAUCCAGCCUUCUUUACAUUGCAC